GAUGAACGCUGGCGGCGUGCCUAAUACAUGCAAGUCGAGCGAAUGGAUUAAGAGCUUGCUCUUAUGAAGUUAGCGGCGGACGGGUGAGUAACACGUGGGUAACCUGCCCAUAAGACUGGGAUAACUCCGGGAAACCGGGGCUAAUACCGGAUAAUAUUUUGAACGUCAAGGUUCACAAUUGAAAGGCGGCUUCGGCUGUCACUUAUGGAUGGACCCGCGUCGCAUUAGCUAGUUGGUGAGGUAACGGCUCACCAAGGCAACGAUGCGUAGCCGACCUGAGAGGGUGAUCGGCCACACUGGGACUGGGACACGGCCCAGACUCCUACGGGAGGCAGCAGUAGGGAAUCUUCCGCAAUGGACGAAAGUCUGACGGAGCAACGCCGCGUGAGUGAUGAAGGCUUUCGGGUCGUAAAACUCUGUUGUUAGGGAAGAACAAGUGCUAGUUGAAUAAGCUGGCACCUUGACGGUACCUAACCAGAAAGCCACGGCUAACUACGUGCCAGCAGCCGCCGUAA
rnacentral:rRNA from 1 species